GACAAACGCUGGCGGCAUGCCUAACACAUGCAAGUCGAACGGCCAGAGCAGGGAAGCUUGUCGUAGUGGAAGGGGAGAGGUAGUGGGGGGAGGGAGAGAAAGGCGUGGACAACCUACCGUGGAAAGGGGAAUGAACACGAGAAAUCGAAGCGAAUACCCCAUAAUAACAUUGCUUCGGAUGAAGCAAGGAGGGAGGGAGGCAUUAGCGCGGUGGAGAAAAGGUGGGUCGGCGUCGGAUUAGCUAGUUGGUGCGGUAAAGGCUCACCAAGGCGACGAUCAGUAGCCGGCCUGAGAGGGUGAUCGGCCACAUUGGGACUGAGACACGGCCCAGACUCCUACGGGAGGCAGCAGUGGGGAAUCUUCCGCAAUGGGCGAAAGCCUGACCCAGCAAUGCCGCGUGAGUGAAGAAGGCCUUCGGGUUGUAAAGCUCUGUUCUUAGGGAAGAAAGGCUGUUGUAGUAACUGACGCUAUUAUGACGGUAGAUGAAGAAGAAGCCCCGGCUAACUACGUG
rnacentral:rRNA from 1 species